rnacentral:rRNA from 1 species
AUACGGAGGGUGCAAGCGUUAUUCGGAAUCACUGGGCGUAAAGCGCGCGCAGGCGGCUAUUUAAGUUGGAUGUGAAAGCCUACGGCUCAACCGUAGAACUGCAUCCAAAACUAUUUAGCUAGAGUGUGGGAGAGGAAGAUGGAAUUAGUUGUGUAGGGGUAAAAUCCGUAGAGAUAACUAGGAAUACCAAAAGCGAAGGCAAUCUUCUGGAACACUACUGACGCUGAGGCGCGAAAGCGUGGGGAGCAAACAGGAUUAGAAACCCUGGUAGUCC